AAAAGAUUCGGGAAAAAAUUCAGAAUGUACACUCCUUAAACCCUAAAAAUGAAAAUUUGAGAAUUUAUCCAUGAUAGAAGAAAGGAAGUUCAUAAGAGAAUUUUGAUCGCUCCAAACUGUAUAUAAACUACCAACCCAUCCGCAUCCGGCUUCGACGAAUAGAAGAGACCAGAAACAGAGGUUUUGAAACUGAUUAGUGAUAACCAACAAAAUGCAGAUUCUUUUCCGGAAGUUACUGCAGACCACAGCGUCAUUCAAACAAGGUAUUGGUCGUUGCACUUAUUCUACCCAUAAAGUCCUCGAUAUUGGGCAGCCAACACCCUUAACUCAUCCUCAGUUACUUAAGGAUGGGCAGAUCACGCCAGGUAUUUCUAGUGAGGAGUACAUCUCAAGAAGAAAAAGGUUGUUGGAGCUUCUUCCAGAGAAGAGUUUGGCCAUCAUUGCAGCUGCCCCUAUAAAGAUGAUGACCAGUGUUGUUCCUUACACAUAUCGACCAGAUGCUGAUUAUUUAUAUAUCACUGGUUGCCAACAACCGGGUGGUGUGGCAGUCUUGGGUCAUGAGUGUGGCUUAUGCAUGUUCAUGCCAGAAGCAACAAAGCAUGAUGUUAUGUGGCAAGGGCAAGUUGCAGGAGUUGAUGCAGCACUAGAAAAUUUCAAGGCUGAGAAAGCAUAUCCAAUUAGCAAACUGUGUGAUGUUCUGCCAGAUAUGAUAAGGAGAAGCCCCAAGUUGUUUCACAACAUGCAGACAGCCACACAAACAUAUACAGAAUUGGAGGCGUUUCAAAAGUCAUCUCUUGUUGGCAAAGUGGAAGACAUCUCCAGUUUCACCAAUGAGUUAAGAUGGAUAAAAUCAUCAGCAGAACUUAAGUUGAUGAGAGAAUCUGCAUCAAUUGCUUGCCAGGUACUUCCAACCAUAAAUUAUCUCUAGUUCCAUUGAAUUUAGUCAAUGAACUGUUAUGGGAUUGUUGUCCUUUUGCAAUUAAAUGACUUAUUAUAAUCCUUUAAGUCAUUUUUUAUUUGUAAUAACUAAAUAGAUAUUUAUUGUGGAUGAAAAGAAAUGAAUGGACAUACAUGAAUGGUGACUUCUCUACUCUUGUGCAAUGAUUAUAUUUAUUUGUUGGACCUGAAUCAUUUUUUGUGGUCUGGGCCCUUUCUUUUAGUUCUGCUUAAGUCAGUUUUCUUCCUGAAAUGGUUGAUUGGAUACGUUAUUUUGCAAUUUUUACACAUACCUGUCAUAUACAAAAUGGAUUCAUGGAAUCUUUGACACAUUCUGAAUCUUCUAUUCUUGGAAUUAGGAAGGCUUACCCUUAUAGGGAUAUGCCCCUACUGAGUGGAAUUUCAUCUUGUAUGGGUGGCGUUUUGUUGACAACAAUGGGGAAAUUGCUCACAUGGUACUAAUAGUUAACUUUUUUGGUUAUCACAUAGGCUCUUUUGCAGACAAUGUUACAUUCCAAGACAUAUCCCUAUGAGAGUAUGCUAGCAGCAAAGGUUGAAUAUGAGUGCAGAAUGAGAGGUGCUCAGAGGAUGGCGUGAGAUUCUUCAUUUCUUAUGAUCUGAUCCAAUGAAAUGAAUUUUUGUUUGGGUGAAUUUUAUAUUUAUAUUUGUUUUAAUUAUUGAGACAUGUAGCAUUGAAUCAAGAACAAUUAUAACUUUAUUCUUCUUUUAGUGUACUUGUACCUCUAUUAGUGAUGAUUUCUUUGUUAUUGUCUGCUUCACCAGAUUCAAUCCUGUGGUUGGUGGUGGGUCUAAUGGGAGUGUCAUACAUUAUUCCCGAAAUGAUCAAAAGAUUAGAGAUGGUGAUCUUGUUUUGAUGGAUAUUGGAUGUGAGUUGAAUGGUUAUGUUAGCGAUCUUACUCGUACCUGGCCACCAUGUGGUAGCUUUUCUUCAGCACAAUACGAGCUCUAUGAUCUUAUACUUCAAACAAACAAGUUAUGCAUAAAUCUUUGCAAACCUGGUGCUAGCAUUCGGCAAAUACACAACUACUCGGUUGAAAUGUUGCGUAAGGGGCUUAAGGAGAUUGGAAUUUUGAGAGACAGUGGAAGCAGUUCCUAUCAUCUAUUGAAUCCAACUUCUAUAGGUCACUAUCUAGGAAUGGAUGUCCAUGAUAGUUUUGCUGUGAGCUGUGAUCGUCUUUUGAAGCCAGGUGUUGUGAUAACAAUUGAGCCUGGAGUGUACAUUCCAUCUAUUUUUGAUGGUCCAGAAAGAUUCCGAGGCAUUGGGAUAAGAAUCGAGGAUGAGGUCCUAAUUACAGAAACUGGUUAUGAGGUACUUACUGGCUCAAUGCCGAAAGAAGUAAAACACAUCGAGUCCUUGCUAAACAAUUACAAUCACGGAAGGGGAAUGGAGACCCAGCAUAAUAUGCAAGCUGCUUCCAGUUGACAAUCCACCUAAUACGUCAAAGAGCUAGACAGAGUCCUAUUGGCCUGGGGUUUCACUG
rnacentral:misc_RNA from 1 species